AAGCAGAGGGGGCUUAGUGGUGGGGUGACUGCGUACCUUUUGUAUAAUGGGUCAGCGACUUAUAUUCUGUAGCAAGGUUAACCGAAUAGGGGAGCCGGAGGGAAACCGAGUCUUAACCGGGCGUUAAGUUGCAGGGUAUAGACCCGAAACCCGGUGAUCUAGCCAUGGGCAGGUUGAAGGUUGGGUAACACUAACUGGAGGACCGAACCGACUAAUGUUGAAAAAUUAGCGGAUGACCUGUGGCUGGGGGUGAAAGGCCAAUCAAACCGGGAGAUAGCUGGUUCUCCCCGAAAGCUAUUUAGGUAGCGCCUCGUGAACUCAUCUCCGGGGGUAGAGCACUGUUUCGGCUAGGGGGCCAUCCCGGCUUACCAACCCGAUGCAAACUGCGAAUACCGGAGAAUGUUAUCACGGGAGACACACGGCGGGUGCUAACGUCCGUCGUGAAGAGGGAAACAACCCAGACCGCCAGCUAAGGUCCCAAAGUCAUGGUUAAGUGGGAAACGAUGUGGGAAGGCCCAGACAGCCAGGAUGUUGGCUUAGAAGCAGCCAUCAUUUAAAGAAAGCGUAAUAGCUCACUGGUCGAGUCGGCCUGCGCGGAAGAUGUAACGGGGCUAAACCAUGCACCGAAGCUGCGGCAGCGACACUCAGGUGUUGUUGGGUAGGGGAGCGUUCUGUAAGCCUGCGAAGGUGGCCUGUGAGGGUUGCUGGAGGUAUCAGAAGUGCGAAUGCUGACAUAAGUAACGAUAAAGCGGGUGAAAAGCCCGCUCGCCGGAAGACCAAGGGUUCCUGUCCAACGUUAAUCGGGGCAGGGUGAGUCGACCCCUAAGGCGAGGCCGAAAGGCGUAGUCGAUGGGAAACGGGUUAAUAUUCCCGUACUUGGUGUUACUGCGAAGGGGGGACGGAGAAGGCUAUGUUGGCCGGGCGACGGUUGUCCCGGUUUAAGCGUGUAGGUGUGUGUUCCAGGUAAAUCCGGUUCACUUUAACACUGAGGCGUGAUGACGAGGCACUACGGUGCUGAAGCAACAAAUGCCCUGCUUCCAGGAAAAGCCUCUAAGCAUCAGGUAACAUCAAAUCGUACCCCAAACCGACACAGGUGGUCAGGUAGAGAAUACCAAGGCGCUUGAGAGAACUCGGGUGAAGGAACUAGGCAAAAUGGUGCCGUAACUUCGGGAGAAGGCACGCUGACACGUAGGUGAAGUGAUUUACUCAUGGAGCUGAAGUCAGUCGAAGAUACCAGCUGGCUGCAACUGUUUAUUAAAAACACAGCACUGUGCAAACACGAAAGUGGACGUAUACGGUGUGACGCCUGCCCGGUGCCGGAAGGUUAAUUGAUGGGGUCAGCGCAAGCGAAGCUCCUGAUCGAAGCCCCGGUAAACGGCGGCCGUAACUAUAACGGUCCUAAGGUAGCGAAAUUCCUUGUCGGGUAAGUUCCGACCUGCACGAAUGGCGUAAUGAUGGCCAGGCUGUCUCCACCCGAGACUCAGUGAAAUUGAACUCGCUGUGAAGAUGCAGUGUACCCGCGGCAAGACGGAAAGACCCCGUGAACCUUUACUAUAGCUUGACACUGAACAUUGAGCCUUGAUGUGUAGGAUAGGUGGGAGGCUUUGAAGUGUGGACGCCAGUCUGCAUGGAGCCGGCCUUGAAAUACCACCCUUUAAUGUUUGAUGUUCUAACGUGGACCCGUGAUCCGGGUUGCGGACAGUGUCUGGUGGGUAGUUUGACUGGGGCGGUCUCCUCCUAAAGAGUAACGGAGGAGCACGAAGGUUGGCUAAUCCUGGUCGGACAUCAGGAGGUUAGUGCAAUGGCAUAAGCCAGCUUGACUGCGAGCGUGACGGCGCGAGCAGGUGCGAAAGCAGGUCAUAGUGAUCCGGUGGUUCUGAAUGGAAGGGCCAUCGCUCAACGGAUAAAAGGUACUCCGGGGAUAACAGGCUGAUACCGCCCAAGAGUUCAUAUCGACGGCGGUGUUUGGCACCUCGAUGUCGGCUCAUCACAUCCUGGGGCUGAAGUAGGUCCCAAGGGUAUGGCUGUUCGCCAUUUAAAGUGGUACGCGAGCUGGGUUUAGAACGUCGUGAGACAGUUCGGUCCCUAUCUGCCGUGGGCGCUGGAGAACUGAGGGGGGCUGCUCCUAGUACGAGAGGACCGGAGUGGACGCAUCACUGGUGUUCGGGUUGUCAUGCCAAUGGCACUGCCCGGUAGCUAAAUGCGGAAGAGAUAAGUGCUGAAAGCAUCUAAGCACGAAACUUGCCCCGAGAUGAGUUCUCCCUGAGACUUUAGGUCUCCUGAAGGAACGUUGAAGACGACGACGUUGAUAGGCCGGGUGUGUAAGCGCAGCGAUGCGUUGAGCUAACCGGUACUAAUGAACCGUGAGGCUUAACCUUACA
rnacentral:rRNA from 2 species